rnacentral:rRNA from 1 species
UACGUAGGCAGCGAGCGUUGUUCGGAGUUACUGGGCGUAAAGAGUGCGUAGGCGGUUUUCUAAGUUUGGUGUGAAAUCUCCCGGCUUAACUGGGAGGGUGCGCCGAAGACUGGAAGGCUUGAGUAUGGGAGAGGUAAGCGGAAUUCCUGGUGUAGCGGUGAAAUGCGUAGAUAUCAGGAGGAACACCGGUGGCGAAGGCGACAUCCUGGACCGGUAUUGACGCUGAGGCGCGAAAGCCAGGGGAGCAAACGGG